rnacentral:rRNA from 1 species
CGGGUCAAGCCUUAUACGGCGAGUGAGCGGCAAAGCUCAAAUUUGAAAUCUGGUACCUUCGGUGCCCGAGAUGUAAUUUGGAGAGGGCAACUUUGGGGCCGUUCCUUGUCUAUGUUCCUUGGAACAGGACGUCAUAGAGGGUGAGAAUCCCGUGUGGCGAGGAGUGCGGUUCUUUGUAAAGUGCCUUCGAAGAGUCGAGUUGUUUGGGAAUGCAGCUCUAAGUGGGUGGUAAAUUCCAUCUAAAGCUAAAUAUUGGCGAGAGACCGAUAGCGAACAAGUACAGUGAUGGAAAGAUGAAAAGAACUUUGAAAAGAGAGUGAAAAAGUACGUGAAAUUGUUGAAAGGGAAGGGCAUUUGAUCAGACAUGGUGUUUUGUGCCCUCUGCUCCUUGUGGGUAGGGGAAUCUCGCAUUUCACUGGGCCAGCAUCAGUUUUGGUGGCAGGAUAAAUCCAUAGGAAUGUAGCUUGCCUCGGUAAGUAUUAUAGCCUGUGGGAAUACUGCCAGCUGGGACUGAGGACUGCGACGUAAGUCAAGGAUGCUGGCAUAAUGGUUAUAUGCCGCCCGUCUUGAAACCACGGACC